rnacentral:ncRNA from 1 species
UCGUGAGAGCGAGCCUAAGAGGGAAGGAGGUGCAAGACCUCCGCUGCCCCCGCAACUGUGACCGGGGAGCAAACUGUCCACAUGCCACUGCGUUAAGCGGGAAGGCGGGCAGGGCGCGACGAUCCGGGAGCCAGGAGACCUGCCUGCGAUGG